rnacentral:rRNA from 1 species
UCAGGAUGAACGCUGGCGGCGUGCUUAACACAUGCAAGUCGAACGGGUUACGAGAAGCUUGCUUUUGUAAACCUAGUGGCGGACGGGUGAGUAACGCGUGAGUAACCUGCCUUAGACUGGGGGAUAACACUUAGAAAUAGGUGCUAAUACCGCAUAAGCGCACAGUAUCGCAUGAUACAGUGUGAAAAACUCCGGUGGUCUAAGAUGGACUCGCGUCUGAUUAGCUAGUUGGUGAGGUAACGGCCCACCAAGGCGACGAUCAGUAGCCGGCCUGAGAGGGUGAACGGCCACAUUGGGACUGAGACACGGCCCAAACUCCUACGGGAGGCAGCAGUGGGGGAUAUUGCACAAUGGGCGAAAGCCUGAUUGCAGCGACGCCGCGUGAGUGAAGAAGUAUUUCGGUAUGUAAAGCUCUAUCAGCAGGGAAGAAAAUGACGGUACCUGACUAAGAAGCCCCGGCUAACUACGUGCCAGCCGCCGC